AAUAUGCAGUGUAUGAUAUACUAAGUCUCUAGUUUUAUCCAAUGUAUAAAACAAACACAAUUUGAAAUGUUGCUACAUAAGACCGUUUUGAGCCGGUCGGUCACACCUCUGCUCCCAAUCAUUACACACACCUGGACUUCAUCAUCACCUUGAUUACCUUCCCUUUAUUUAUCCGUCAGUAGCCUAAAUCAUCAGGCAGUAUUGGUUUUGUUCACGUUCAGUACACGUCUCCUGUUUUGGUGCCUUGUUCAGGUCUAUUAAACUCACCUUCUGCACCGGCUUCCUGACUCCAAACGUUACACACAGACAUUGAGAGGCACACGCAGGUAAGGUAAAGCACCCUGGGACAAAGAGCCAAUCACAACAUCAGCUGAACAAAACCUGUUUCUGUUCACCUGCCAACUCCUUAUAGAAUUGUGAAACAGAACUGGGACCAGGCUUACAGUUAACAGUUCAGCUGCAGAACAUCUUUUCAGCAACUCAUUAUCAGAACCACCUGUGUCUAUCCAGUUUCCUCAAGUGGAAGGGGAACCUACAGUGGCGGCAGGUAGCCUAGUGGUUAGAGUGUAGUGGCGGCAGGUAGCCUAGUGGUUAGAGUGUAGUGGCGGCAGGUAGCCUAGUGGUUAGAGUGUAGUGGCGGCAGGUAGCCUAGUGGUUAGAGUGUAGUGGCGGCAGGUAGCCUAGUGGUUAGAGUGUAGUGGCGGCAGGUAGCCUAGUGGUUAGAGUGUAGUGGCGGCAGGUAGCCUAGUGGUUAGAGUGUAGUGGCGGCAGCCUAGUGGUUAGAGCCAAGGGCCAGAAAGCGAAAGGGUUCCUGGUACUUCAGAGCACAAAAACACCAACUCUACCAAUGGCAUAAAUCAAUUGUCAACUACAGACACUACCCCACACAUCU